GCCACUGUGGUGUAGUGGUCUGAGCAUUGGACUAUGACUCAAGACCAGGGUUCAAAUCCCUGCUAAACCA
rnacentral:tRNA from 1 species